UACAUGCAAGUCGAGCGAACGGACGAGAAGCUUGCUUCUCUGAUGUUAGCGGCGGACGGGUGAGUAACACGUGGAUAACCUACCUAUAAGACUGGGAUAACUUCGGGAAACCGGAGCUAAUACCGGAUAAUAUUUUGAACCGCAUGGUUCAAAAGUGAAAGACGGUCUUGCUGUCACUUAUAGAUGGAUCCGCGCUGCAUUAGCUAGUUGGUAAGGUAACGGCUUACCAAGGCAACGAUGCAUAGCCGACCUGAGAGGGUGAUCGGCCACACUGGAACUGAGACACGGUCCAGACUCCUACGGGAGGCAGCAGUAGGGAAUCUUCCGCAAUGGGCGAAAGCCUGACGGAGCAACGCCGCGUGAGUGAUGAAGGUCUUCGGAUCGUAAAACUCUGUUAUUAGGGAAGAACAUAUGUGUAAGUAACUGUGCACAUCUUGACGGUACCUAAUCAGAAAGCCACGGCUAACUACGUGCCAGCAGCCGCGGUAAUACGUAGGUGGCAAGCGUUAUCCGGAAUUAUUGGGCGUAAAGCGCGCGUAGGCGGUUUUUUAAGUCUGAUGUGAAAGCCCACGGCUCAACCGUGGAGGGUCAUUGGAAACUGGAAAACUUGAGUGCAGAAGAGGAAAGUGGAAUUCCAUGUGUAGCGGUGAAAUGCGCAGAGAUAUGGAGGAACACCAGUGGCGAAGGCGACUUUCUGGUCUGUAACUGACGCUGAUGUGCGAAAGCGUGGGGAUCAAACAGGAUUAGAUACCCUGGUAGUCCACGCCGUAAACGAUGAGUGCUAAGUGUUAGGGGGUUUCCGCCCCUUAGUGCUGCAGCUAACGCAUUAAGCACUCCGCCUGGGGAGUACGACCGCAAGGUUGAAACUCAAAGGAAUUGACGGGGACCCGCACAAGCGGUGGAGCAUGUGGUUUAAUUCGAAGCAACGCGAAGAACCUUACCAAAUCUUGACAUCCUUUGACAACUCUAGAGAUAGAGCCUUCCCCUUCGGGGGACAAAGUGACAGGUGGUGCAUGGUUGUCGUCAGCUCGUGUCGUGAGAUGUUGGGUUAAGUCCCGCAACGAGCGCAACCCUUAAGCUUAGUUGCCAUCAUUAAGUUGGGCACUCUAAGUUGACUGCCGGUGACAAACCGGAGGAAGGUGGGGAUGACGUCAAAUCAUCAUGCCCCUUAUGAUUUGGGCUACACACGUGCUACAAUGGACAAUACAAAGGGCAGCGAAACCGCGAGGUCAAGCAAAUCCCAUAAAGUUGUUCUCAGUUCGGAUUGUAGUCUGCAACUCGACUACAUGAAGCUGGAAUCGCUAGUAAUCGUAGAUCAGCAUGCUACGGUGAAUACGUUCCCGGGUCUUGUACACACCGCCCGUCACACCACGAGAGUUUGUAACACCCGAAGCCGGUGGAGUAACCUUUUAGGAGCUAGCCGUCGAAGGUGGGACAAAUGAUUGGGGUGAAGUCGUAACAAGGUAGCCGUAUCGGAAGGUGCGGCUGGAUCACCUCCUUU
rnacentral:rRNA from 1 species